rnacentral:lncRNA from 1 species
GUUGACUGCGCGGUGAAACCAGACCUGAUGCACCUGGCAACCAUGGAGUAGGAACUGGAGCAGACCUACCAACGCCUGCUCUGCGCCAUUCAGCCCCAGUCUACCCUGCAAGCAGAGCUAGAGAACUGGGUAGCAGGACCAGGUCUAGAGCCCUUCAGCUGGAAGGAUAUCGUAGAGGUUUACUGGGAGGAACCCCUGUCGGCAGGUAGAGAUGGGACCGAGGUCUCUCUACUGGCCCUACAGGGACGCUGAGCAGUCGGCCCAGAUCCCCAACCCCAGAGUGAGUUCCAUGGAGCCAAAGGUGUCAUCCUUCCUCCCCAGCGGCAGUGUGAGUUCCAGGGAGCCGAAGGUGUUGUGGGGAUAUUUAUGGUAUGAUAAUAUUAUACAGUUGAGAAUUGCCCACUAUUUCAGUUCUUUUAGAUCUUAAAUAUCGUUAUCAUGUAAGUGAAAUGUAUUCCAUACAAAUAAAAUCACAAUUUGUUAUAAAAAUAGAUAUAAUUUAUUGUGACAAAUAUAAUAAUAAUAAUAAUAAUAUUAGGCAGCAUGCAUGAUAUUAAUCAGUGAAUAUUUAGUAUAACAUAAGUAUGUAAUAUAAUGGCAAUAUUAAAACAAUCCAAAGGCUAACAGCAUCUACUGUCAAUUAACAAGAUUUAUGAGGUAUUUCACAGACACAGAAAGCUAAACUUCACACAGCACAGCGAAAAGUCGUAAAACCUUGGCUAACAGUUAGAUCAACUGAGUAACCCUUUCAAUGCUGGCUAGAUCCUCCUAGGCAUAUAGUAUCCUAUUCUCAUGUAAUUUUCAAUUAAAAUAACAUUCGAACCAGCUCAUUAAUCAUUUCCUGGAACCAUCCAAUAAGAAUAAUCUACCAGAUUUUUACAAAAGCCAAAUUUAAAUUUGCCUAAAAAGAUAUCUUAUCUUAUUUUAGAGCAAAUCAAUACACCUGGAUAAAAAACAGUGGUAUGCUAACACGUGAUAAUAUCACUGUAAUGGAUCACCUGACACCCCGACUGGGCACCUCCGUUGAAGGAUGCUCCUAGCGCUUCCUGAGGACUCCAAGCACUGCAGCAGACACCACAACCACCGAACCGGAAAACAUAUGAAUAUUCUAAAGCAUAUGAAUGCUCUAAGCAGCUGAACAGGAAAAGCAUACAAUCAGCUUACACUCAUGGCAAUCAGCAUACAAUCCAAUUCCCCCAAUAACGAGACGACACUUCGUUUUGAGGUCAAGCAGAACUGAUUGGACUGGCACAUACAGCGUCUUUUAUUCCCAAUCCACAAACUUAGUACUGCCCACAGGGUUUUACAGAACAACCAAUAACACAUACAAUACACUCAGACACUACAACACAAAAACCUCCCCUCUGCCUGUGAUACAAUUACCUUACACAAUGGGUAAUCUAAUUAUCACAGCCAGAGAAAUACAGUUUCAUAAAACACAUCACAGGGACCCCAAAACAUGCAAUAACCCCAUAUCCAAAAUUCACCCAGAUCCGUUCACUACUUUGGAAGAUACAGUUGAAUGUAGAUUCUGCAGAACAUAUACAGGCUAAAUGAAAAACAAUCACUGUAUAAUGUGUCCCCUGCUGUAUAGUCCAAAAUCACCGCACAAUGUCUCUGUGCAACAAAUACUGGCGAGAUGGCACCGUGUUGAAAAGUCCAAACAGUGUCUGGGAGUUAAAAUGGCCGCCAUCCAUUGUUCUCACCAUGUGCUUCAUCCAUUGUUCUCACCAUGUGCCUCUGAUACAGGAAAUGGUGGCCACCCAGUAACUCCACAGUAUGUCCCCAGAUGGUUUUUAAAGGGCCAGCAGCAGCACAACACAAAUCCAUUAUGCCCAAAUCAUGUCUUUAAAGGGCAAUACAUCCCAGGGUCCAUAGUCACAUGGCAGGAGGCUGGCAAUCAGUCUUCUCCAAUGCCCAGUGGCGAGGUCGGUUUUGCCACAAUCACAUUAAUAUAUAAUUAGUAUUAAUUCCACCUGCAGAAUGGAAUGUUUAUAACUAUAUAUUCUUUUGUUAACUAAGAUUUCUAAAUAUUGAAAUCUGACCGUGAUUUAUCCAGUCAAAUAUCACGCUAUUAGAUUUUAAUUAAUUUAGAUUAAUUAAAUAAAACCAGCAUAAUUACCAGUUAUGUAGAUUGUGGCGGAACCAGCCUCGCCACUGGGCAUUGGAGAGACUGAUUGCCGGCCUCCUGCCCUGUGACUAUGGCCCCAUGUUGAAAGGAUGGAUUUUUCCCUGCAAAGACCCAAAAGCUGGGUCUUUUGGUACUUUCCCUACGUGAGCAGUGUUACCCAGAUAGCUAUGCCAUGGAGCCCAUUCGUAGAAUGAAAGACUAUGGGAAAGACUUUGGCUCCAUGGCAAUUGAACUGUAUGUGUGUGCUCUGAGCGCCAUUCAAUAAUGUGCGCUCAGAUCUGAGCUAUCUGGGGAUAUGUUGAAUGUACCUGUUUUGUGCAAUAGCUGCACAGUUAUAUAUGUAUUUUGCUGCCAUGUGUUCAAUGGAGUUUUGCCUCUGUCCUUGGAGAUAAUUAGAUUACUUCCCAAUUAUCUCCAGGAUAGAAGACUCUGUGGAACUGGUCACAAAGGACUACGAUCUAUCUUUUGAACCAUUGGACCAAUUUGUAUGUUUGUAUUUGGAGUAUGCUGAUUCUGAAAAUGUAAGUUUUAUGUGAAUGUGAUGCAUACUUUUCAAGUUAUGAAUAAUGUGGAAAAACUGUAUUUCUCUGGCUGUGAUAAUUGAAUUACCCAUUGUGUAAGGUAAUUGAAUCACAUGCAGAGGGGAGGAUUUUGUGUGGGAGUGUCUGAGUGUAUUGUACAUGUUUAUUGGUUGUUUUACAAAACCCUGUGGGUGGUAGUAAUGUGUAAGAAUGUGUACAUAAGAACAAUAAACCCACAGCUCUGGAGUUCCUGCCUAACCCUCAAACUGAAGUGUCGUCUCAUUAUUGGGGGAGGAUUUAUUGUAUGCUGUUCCAGUUUGACUGCUAGGAGUGUAAACCUAUUCGCAUGUUUUUUCCUAUUCUGCUGUAUACAACAUUCAUAUGCUUGAGAGCAUUCAUAUGCUCCUACGGUUCGGUGGUUUAGGUGUCUGCUGCAGUGCUUGGAGUCCUCAGGAAGUGCUAGGAGCAUCCUUCAACGGAGGUACCCAGUCGGGGUGCCAGGUGAUCCGUUAAAUAGAUGUUCUCAUUAGAUGACUAGGUAGUCCCAGGAACUUGAAUGCAAGUAUCAUUGGUUGUAUGGAGGUGUGUAAGUAAUAGAGAAAAGUGAUGUUGGUUAGAAAGUAUUAGUAAAAUUCUAAGUGUCAAGGAGUGUUUCUUGAGUUGUGUCCAAGAGAGUUUGAGAGUUAGUCCCAGAGUAUCUGUCCUGUAUUUCUCUGAAUGUCCAAAUCCAAAUACCCAAACUAACCUCUUCUCUUUGUCCUAACUUUUAAAGGGCCAAACUCUCUGUACGUCAUUAGUUGAUAAGGCCAAUAGGAAACUGUAGGUGUGUCUAUGUUAUCUAGUAUUAUAAAGUUUUUGGUCAAUAGAGGGCGUAAUUGCCUAAUUAAACUUUCUUAUCCAGGAAAGAGUUAACUUUUCCUGUUGACGAUUUUGACGUCAUUUGGCUUAUCUAAAAUGACUACCAUAACUUAAAUUUGGUGUCAGUUGAAAGCGUUUGCCUCAGUCUUUGUGGCAACUACUUUUGACUUUUUGUAAUUUCUAAAAUUGACAGUUCUAAACUCAAUUUCACCCCUUACUUACAAUGGGACCUUGUAAAAUUUAGAGAGUAAAAUUAAUUAUAGUCUUUUCUGUAACUAGUGUCUGUGUUUAAAAUUAUUUCUAUUCCAUUAACAUUUCAUCCCCCUGCUUCAUUGCUUAUCACUUGGCUUGUUAACAUAAUGCAAUCCUUAGCUCAGGCUAGUUACAGAAAGGAAAUAUAUUUUGUCUGUCUUGCCUGAAAUCCAAAAUGGAGUCUGCUCUGUUCUGAGUGACUCUGGCAAUAUACACUUUUCAUUUCUAUCUUAGCACAAAAUGUCUGCCGAUAGAAAUAUCCUGACAGUGUCAUGCUUCCUCCCCAGCGGCAGUGUGAGAUACAUGGAGCCGAAGGUGUCGUCCUUCCUCCCCAGUGGCAGUUUAUCCUACCAAGCGGAGACAUCAAUCUUCCAGAUGGUGCAG